rnacentral:tRNA from 1 species
GGCGAUAUAGCUAAGCGGUAAGGCAUAAGAUUGCAAAUCUUUGAUCCCUGGUUCGAGUCCUGGUAUCGCCU